CGUCAACGUUAUGCCAGAACGUCAGGAUCGAGCAGAGGACUGGGACUAGGACCACAGCCUUCAGAAACUAACGAAGGCUGGGCAUGCAGUCAUUUUGUUUAAAAUUCAAACAAGUUCAUUAUUCUUUCAAAAACAGUAAAAAACAAUGGUGAAUAACUUUUGGUUUUGUAAUUAUAUUUUACAACAUAACGUCAUUGUAACAAGAACACAUAUUUGGUAGUAAUAGGCUAAAAAAACUUUAGCAUAUACUCGAGCGUAUAAAUGGAAAUGUAGAGUGGUCCAAUAAUUACGAAAUAUAAUGACAGCGAAUCAGCGAUCACGGUAAGCGUUUAGCUUUCGCUGUCCGCCAUUUUGAACGUGGCAAAGAACCUUUACGAGUAAAUUACACCAAGUACUUCAUAUAUUUUUUGUGGAUUUGCGGAUUUUUUGAGGAUUUUGAAGGAUUUCUGUGGAUUUUUGAAGGAUUUCUGUGGUUUUUAAAGGAUUUUUCGGAUUUUGAUGGAUUCAACGGAUUUUGAGGAUUUCAUGGAUUUUUUCUGGAUUUUUUCCGGAUUUUUUGACGAAGUGUACGGGAUUUUUGGAGUGAAUUGCCCCUCG